rnacentral:rRNA from 1 species
GGGUCAGUAGGUUGGUCGUGCCACCGGUACGUACUGGUCUCACUGAUUCCUCCUUCCUGAAGAACCGUAAUGCCAUUAAUUUGGUGUUGCGGGGAAACAGGACUGUUACUUUGAAAAAAUUAGAGUGUUUAACGCAAGCUAACGCUUGAAUACAUUAGCAUGGAAUAAUGAAAUAGGACGAUCGAUCCUAUUUUGAUGGUUUCUAGGAUUGACGUA